CGUGCCAUCGGGAGCAACUUGGGGUUCAGUGUCUUGCUCAAGGACACUUCAGUAUGUGGAGUCACAUGGGCUGGGAAUUGAACCACCAACCCUACGUUUAGUGGACAACCCACUCUACCACCUGAGCCACAGCCGCCCAUCAUACUGUCUGACCAAUCAGAAUCCAGAAUUUGACAGAGUUGUGCUCUUCAUAACACAAUAUGGAACAAGCAGUGAUUCAACCGCAGGUAAUUGCAGGCUAACCACCACACUGGGAAUGGGACAGUAAAAUUGAAGCAGUGACAGCCACACACACGUGAACAAGUGCCUUGACCCCACCUAGAGAAUGCCUCAACCAUCUUUAUAAGGUGGGACACGAUCAGUAUUAACACCUGCUUAUUAGUCAUGGCAACGUAUAAUGGUCUAAAUGUAUAAACACUCAUUAUUGU
ensembl:lncRNA